GUUUAAGAGGUUGGCCGCCCUGUCAGUGUGACCUAUAUAUCCGGUGUGCACCAUCAGGGUUGGUUUCCUUCCUGAUAUGAAGAGUCAUGUUAUGCGGUUGGCUGCCCUGUCACUGUGACCUAAAUAUCCGAUGUACAACAUCAAGUCAUGUUACGCUGUUUGCUGCCGUGUCACUGUGACCUAAAUUUCCUGUGUACAACAUCAAGGUAGGUCUCUUUCCUGGUAUGAAGAGGUGUUUGUAAAUAAUAAGACGGUGUUAUGUAUGUAUGUUUAUAUACAUAUAUGUUCCAGUUCUGAUUAAUUAUCUGCCUGAAAUUAUAUCUUAAAAAUUCAGUGAGAUAGUGGAAAUGGAAGGCUUUAAUGUGUGUAUUAUCUUGGAGCGAGUAAUGGAGAGUGCAGCAAAUUUUACGAACUUGUGUUUCUUCUAUUGCACAAUGGAACCGAAGUGUUUUCCCUCUGAACCAUGAAACUGAAGUAUUUGUGAAGGAAGAAUACACCAUUACGUACAUUUAUUGAUUAAACGAAUGUAAGUGUUUGUAAGAAUAGUGGGUGUGUAGUGAAAGUCAAUGUGUCUUUGAGGUUAUUCUUACACUAUUAUUAAUAAUCUCGUGUGAAGUAUGUACAGUGAUUUGCACAAAAUGUGGUUUAGUGGUUAUAUGGAUAGAGAGUGGAUUAGAUUUUAUGAGUGCAUAUUUUGUAUGAGAGAAAAGAGGGAGUGGUUCUGGUAUGUAUCCUCUGAAUUUGACAGGUAUGAGUAGGUUAUUGGUCAGAAUGAUAUACUUUUUUGCAUUAGUAAAGUACUAGUAAUAAGAGGGUGCAAAGUGAAUUUCUAGUUCCCAUCGAAGAAGUUAUUUUUUUAAUUUAUAUCUUAGUUCUUUGUAACAAUGGUGGGUAUAAUGUAUGUUGUUUUGGUCACAAUAAUGUGGAGUGUAGACUGAAGUUAUAAUUCUCUAGUGUGACGUUAUAUUUUUGUGUGUAAGUUAUACAGUGACAUGUAUGUUGUCUUGUAGUGUUUUCAAGAAUAUUAAGAUCUCCAUUCACCCACUAUGGAUUUAAAAGUUUCGAUUUUUAUGUACAUAUCAUGUUUCAUGAAGAAUUCUUGCUUAUAACAUGGUGGUAUGCUAAGUUAAACACAUGUUGUCGUUGGUGUAAUGCUGGCAAUCCAGUUCAGUGACGGGGAAAAGGGUGCACAGUGCUGUGUUGAGUAUGUGUUUUAGCAUGAAAAAUGAUGGCAAAUAUUUUGUAAGUUAGAUGUCUAUUUCGCUGUGAUAGACAACUGAUUGCAUUGUUGCCAUGUGAACUUCCAGGCUUACAUGUGCUAGCAGGUAGUAUAGAGAAUGAGGGGAUUAUUUUCCUUCCAUCUAUUAAAGUGCUAAGAGGAUCACAUUAUUUACAAGAAAGCAGGAGUUGUUACAGCUGACAUUCUUGUAAUUGUAAUUUAUAGUUUAGUCUAGAACAUAUAUAGUGAUGUGAUGGUUUCUUGUUUUAAUAGUUAGGAGAUUGUUGAAGGAUAUUUUCUUAGGUUCAGAUCUUAAUCAGUGAUUUCCCUAUCUAAUAUUUGAGCAAUAAUAUUGAGGGGUGGAUACCUUUGAUAUAGAGUGUAUGUAUAACGUUCCCAUAUGUCGAAAAACAUGUUAAAGUUCAUAAUGGUAACAUUUGAAAAGAGUUUAUUUCGGGAAAUAUUUGAAAUUGUGAGAGUCAAUUAAAAUAAUUGUGAUAUCAUGCACUUGGGAGCGUUCUGCAAUGUGAAUAUUUAGGAAAAAAUGCAUUUAGGACCAGUAUAAAUAUCGAAAUAUAUGCAAGGUUUCAUAAAUUACUUAGUGAGUAUUACAGAAAAAUAUAUGCAAGUGUUUAUCAU